UCUACACACAACCCUAAGAUGAUUAUUUUCAUCUAAAUGCACCUGCCUGGUGUGCAAAGAGAAUCUGUACUUUGUCGCCUUUCAUAUGCUGCUGUGCUACUGAAAAUGAAUUCAAGGUUCAGCAGUG